UGCUGAAGCUGCUAUAGGCAAGCUGUUGACUGUGCCACAGUCUUCUCUAAACACUGGCUACAGGAGAUCUUGUUUCCAGCUCACUCCCAUGGCUGUUGGCGGGAUUUUGACCCUCACAGGCUGAGGGCCUGAGUUUCUCACACACUUGUCACCAGCAGCCUUUCCUCUCUUUCUUGCAACAUAGGGUGGCUGACAACACGGUAACCAACUUCCAUCUGAGGGAGCAGAUGAGACAGAAGGCAAGAGGAAGCACCCAAGAUGGACGCCAUAUUCUUUUACUAUGGAAUCCAUCACUUCUGCUGAUUUUUGUUCAUUAGAGACAAGCCAGGAAGUCCAACCUACCUGGAGAAGAAGGGAUUACAGAAUGGUGUGAACACCAGGAUGGGGGCUCACAGGGGCCACUGUGGAGACUGUCUUUCACCCCUCUUCUCUUUCAUGCCCCUCUCACCCAGAAGUAACCACCAUUAAUUCUUUCAGAGGGUUCAAAAAGAAAGAAUUGGAUUUAAAUCAAUUUUCCAAGAUUAAACUGGAAGUGCUCCAAUGGUUUCUGCUAAGAUUUAAAUGUCAACCACUUUUCAGUGCCGUAAAUGUCAUCAUCCCCUCUGCCAAGUGGACCAGAUGAGCACUGAAACUCACAGCUUGCCUUCAAGUAAAAAAGCCUCAGCUUACCUUUGGCUGGAAGAUUGAUUCUGUGGCCCUCCUGAUUGAAGCAGGACAUGUGCCAGGCCUCACUCCCGUUGUGGUACCCAGACUCUGCCCACCAGCUGUGCUUCACCUGCCUGCGGAGGGCUGUUCCUGCUUGCCUAGUGAUGUGGACCAGCUCUGGUUUGGCCAACUCUACAGCUUCUCCACCAGGAAAAAAAGACCAUGUGUGCCAUAGGUUCACCACCACUGCCUUAGCCGGUGACUAGCAGGGCUAGGUGAGUAAAUACCCCAGCUCCUUAGCCCUUGCCUGGCAGAUUUUCGCAUGGAUGCCUGAACUUCCUGCAAAAUGAAGCCCACCAUGCUAGUCAGCUUCGGAAUAACCUGUACUGGCGGCUCCUUCCCUGCCACCUUCCCAC
rnacentral:lncRNA from 1 species